CCCUGUGACAUACCACUUGUUGCCUCGGCGGAUCAGCCCGCUCCCGGUAAAACGGGACGGCCCGCCAGAGGACCCCUAAACUCUGUUUCUAUAUGUAACUUCUGAGUAAAACCAUAAAUAAAUCAAAACUUUCAACAACGGAUCUCUUGGUUCUGGCAUCGAUGAAGAACGCAGCAAAAUGCGAUAAGUAAUGUGAAUUGCAGAAUUCAGUGAAUCAUCGAAUCUUUGAACGCACAUUGCGCCCGCCAGUAUUCUGGCGGGCAUGCCUGUUCGAGCGUCAUUUCAACCCUCAAGCACAGCUUGGUGUUGGGACUCGCGUUAAUUCGCGUUCCUCAAAUUGAUUGGCGGUCACGUCGAGCUUCCAUAGCGUAGUAGUAAAACCCUCGUUACUGGUAAUCGUCGCGGCCACGCCGUUAAACCCCAACUUCUGAAUGUUGACCUCGGAUCAGGUAGGAAUACCCGCUGAACUUAAGCAGCUGACCUCNGAU
rnacentral:misc_RNA from 1 species